rnacentral:rRNA from 1 species
GACGAACGCUGGCGGCGUGCUUAACACAUGCAAGUCGAACGGAAAGGCCUGCUUUCCCUUGUGGAUUGCGGGUACUCGAGUGGCGAACGGGUGAGUAACACGUGAGUGAUCUGCCCCCAACUUUGGUAUAAGCCUGGGAAACUGGGUCUAAUUCCCGAUAGGACUGCAGGGUGGUGCCGGUGGUGGAAAACGAUGUUCUAGUGGUUGGGGAUGAGCUCGCGGCCUAUCAGCUUGUUGGUGGGGUAAUGGCCUACCAAGGCGGCGACGGGUAGCCGGCCUGGGAGGGUGGACGGCCGCAUUGGGACUGAGAUACGGCCGAGACUCCUACGGGGGGCAGCAGUGGGGAAUAUUACACAAUGGGCGGAAGCCUGAUGCAGCGAGGCCGCGUGGGGGAUGACGGCCGUCGGGUUGUAAACUCCUUUCGACCGCGAGGAAGCCACCUGGUUGGAAGGGUGGUGACGGUAGUGGUAGAAGAAGCACCGGCUAACUACGUG